UACGGAGGGUGCAAGCGUUAUCCGGAUUCACUGGGUUUAAAGGGUGCGUAGGUGGGUCUGUAAGUCCGUGGUGAAAUCUCCAAGCUUAACUUGGAAACUGCCAUGGAUACUAUAGGUCUUGAAUACCGUGGAGGUGAGCGGAAUAUGUCAUGUAGCGGUGAAAUGCUUAGAUAUGACAUAGAACACCAAUUGCGAAGGCAGCUCACUACACGAAUAUUGACACUGAGGCACGAAAGCGUGGGGGAUCAAACAGG
rnacentral:rRNA from 1 species